GACUGGGAUAACCUUGGGAAACUGAGGCUAAUACCGGAUAGGCAAUUUUUCCUGUAAUGGUUUUUUGUUUAAAUGUUUUUUCGCCUAAGGAUGGGUCUGCGGCCGAUUAGGUGGUUGGUUAGGUAAUGGCUUACCAAGCCGUUGAUCGGUACGGGUUGUGAGAGCAAGAGCCCGGAGAUGGAACCUGAGACAAGGUUCCAGGCCCUACGGGGUGCAGCAGGCGCGAAACCUCCGCAAUGUGAGAAAUCGCGACGGGGGGAUCCCAAGUGCCAUUCUUAACGGGAUGGCUUUUCAUUAGUGUAAAGAGCUUUUGGAAUAAGAGCUGGGCAAGACCGGUGCCAGCCGCCGCGGUAACACCGGCAGCUCUAGUGGUAGCAAUUUUUAUUGGGCCUAAAGCGUCCGUAGCCGGUUUAAUAAGUCUCUGGUGAAAUCCUGUAGCUUAACUGUGGGAAUUGCUGGAGAUACUAUUAGACUUGAGACCGGGAGAGGUUGGAGGUACUCCCAGGGUAGAGGCGAAAUUCUGUAAUCCUGGGAGGACCGCCUGUUGCGAAGGCGUCUAACUGGAACGGUUCUGACGGUGAGGGACGAAAGUUAGGGGCGCGAACCGGAUUAGAUACCCGGGUAGUCCUAACUGUAAACGAUGCGGACUUGGUGUUGGGGUGGCUUUGAGCUGCUCCAGUGCCGAAGGGAAGCUGUUAAGUCCGC
rnacentral:rRNA from 1 species